CGCCGAAAGUAGUUGGGGGCUUCCCCCUGUGAGGAUAGGACGUUGCCAGGC
rnacentral:rRNA from 1 species